rnacentral:lncRNA from 1 species
GUGUAUAGAUAGCUUUCAUUUCUUCAUCUGAAAACUGCUUGCUCAUAUCCUUUGACCAUUUAUCUAUCUUUUAUAUUUGGCUCAGUUCUCUCUAUAUUUGAGAAAUGAGUUUUUUUUUUUUUACUAAACACACUUGUGUGUAAAGACAGUAAAGGGUUCCCUUCUUAUUUCACCCCUCUGUUUCUAGAUUAUGUUUACCUUCCACACUUAAUAGACUUUGCCCUCCUACUUCUAUAGAAAACUGCACCUUUUGCCCUGGAUUCACAUGCUAUAACUUCUUCACAAUGUGCACCCCUUGGGUCCUUGGACACUUGACAUUUUUUUAUAUAGAAAUACAGUCCUCCCUACACUCUAGUUCUCCCUUACUCUUAACAACAUUAUUGUUAUUCUGAGCCCCAGGUUCAGAGUUUCCUUAUAGCCUUCCUCCUCCUAGGAAGCCAGAUCGAAAGCCUUAGCAUCCCCUUGGAUUCUCCAUUCUCUUUUGUUACUUGAGGAGUCAUGAAAUCCUAUGUGACCUGGAGAAUAGAAAGAGAGAAAAUAGGAGGAACAGCUUUCUGGAUAAAGAUGAUGAAUUCUGAUUGGUGGAAGAUGAUUUGAUUGUUGGAGAUGUUAAAUAUAAGGUGCCACUGGAAAUUGGUGAAUGAAAAAAUAGGCACUACUUAAAUGCUUACUGUAUGCAAGCAUUGUGCUCAGUACUAUAGAUUCAAAUAGAAAAGUAAGAGAAUCCUGGUUUUCAAAGAGCUUAUAUGCUAGUAAUAAUAGACCUAAUUUGUUUGAAGAGACAUACUGCUGAGUUCAAGGAAUAGUUAAUAUUUUGACAGAUAUAGUUCAUGAUUGGGAUCAUGAGAUCUUGGAUUUUGGUGGGCCUUAGAACUCAUCUAGGCUAAUUUUCUUAUUUUAGGGUUGACUUAACUCAAGUUGAGGUUCCCUGUGGUUCCCAAAAUGGCAGAACUAAAUUUGAAUCCAGGGUUUCUUCCUCUAAACCCAUCAUUUUCCCCAAGUUUACUACACUCUGGGAUUGGGACAGAGCAUCAUUUCAUUGCUUAAGGGAACUCAUGAAUGAAGAAGGUCCCUUUACCAAUUCAGAUUGAUAUUUUCUCUGCAACUUAGUCUUAGAGUUGUUUGAAGCAUUGAGUUGUUAUUUGAUUAUGUCCAAGCUCUUGAACAGUCAAUUGGUUAAUAAACAUAUAUUAAGAACCUACUGUGUACCAAGCACUGUGCUAAGUGCUGGGGGUACAAAGAAAGACAAAAAAUAGUUCAUGCU